rnacentral:rRNA from 1 species
GACGAACGCUGGCGGCGUGCUUAACACAUGCAAGUCGAACGGAAAGGCCUGCUUUCCCUUGUGGAUUGCGGGUACUCGAGUGGCGAACGGGUGAGUAACACGUGAGUGAUCUGCCCCCAACUUGGGUAUAAGCCUGGGAAACUGGGUCUAAUUUCCGAUAGGACUGCAGGGUGGUGCCUGUGGUGGAAAACGAUUUUCUAGUGGUUGGGGAUGAGCUCGCGGCCUAUCAGCUUGUUGGUGGGGUAAUGGCCUACCAAGGCGGCGACGGGUAGCCGGCCUGAGAGGAUGGACGGCCAAAUUGGGACAGGGAUACGGCCCAGACGGCUACGAGAGGCAGCAGUGGGGAAUAUUUCACAAUGGGCGGGAGCCUGAUGCAGCGACGCCGCGUAGGGGAUGACGGCCUUCGGGUUGUAAACUCCUUUCGACCGCGAGGAAGCCACCUGGUUGGAAGGGUGGUGACGGUAGUGGUAGAAGAAGCACCGGCUAACUACGUG